CUCAGCCUCCCUAAGUGCUGGGAUUACAGAUUCUGCUUCCUAGGACUGUGUGGAUUUAGUAAAUUAAAAUACAGGAUGCCCAGGCUGUAUUUGUGCGAGUCUUCGUGGACCAUGGUGCUGCACAAGGUGAUGUGUUUGCAGAGGUUUUUUUGCCCUUGAAGAGCACUUACGACUGGAGAGCAAGACACACGCCGACACGCAGAAGCUGACGGGCUUGCUGCCACGUGGGAAAGUCCUUGGACGAGCUGUCUGCUUGUGGGGAGGUGUCUGAGGCUCAGCACUUCUCACUAUCUGAAGUGAUCUGGUUUGUUGAUCAACUUCUUUAUUUCUGUCUUCCCUGAUGUGAAUACAAGCCCCCAGCCUGUCUGCUCAACAGCUGUACCCUCAGGGUGUAAAACAGUGGCUGGCACAGCACUUAAAGAAGACCCAAAAUUCAGUGAGCAAGUCCCCAUCAACCACCAGAAACAGAAAACAGGUGUGUUGUUCUGAGAGCCACAUGACCAAGGCUGGGAGGACUCCCCUCCCUGAGACGCCAAGAUAAACACACUCACAGCAUCGCCAUGGAAAUAGUGGCUUACAGUUCAAAUGCUCAGGAGGGGAUAGGAAAAAAAAAUCAGGACAGCACCAUAGAGAACAAUUUCCCUCAUCAACUUCUGUGCUCCUCCCAAGGGCAGAGGACCUGCAAAUUACAUCAUGGCCUCUUGAGUAGUUUCCACAAGGACCGAUGUUGAUGGGGAUCUAGAAAAACAAAGGCAAGCCGUGCCCCAGACAAGUCUCCAUCUCAGAAGCGGAAGUCCUUGACACAAGCCAACCAUAUUGGCAAAGCCCUCGCUGGGUGAAAAGUGCAAAGCGAGGACAAAGAGAUGAUGAGAAAACCAAGUCUGAACAUUUGCUUGGACAAGUUAGAGUCAAGGAGACAGCUGGAGCUGAAAAAAGAAAUCCAAUGUUAACAGGAGGCAUCCAGUGUGUUAACGGCUGUUGUCCAAUAUGGUAGCUGCUGGCCACAUGUGGCUAUUGAACCCUGAAAUGUGGCUAAUGCAACUGAGAAACUGGACUUUUAGUUUAAUUUAAUUUUAAUCAACCUAAAUUCAAAAACUGAUACUUGAUUCAGUUGUUAGGAAACUUUUGAAGUAUGUUUGAUACAACUUUAGAAGGUGAAUCUAGCUUUUCAACUGUGACGGGAGUCUUUUAUGGAAUUUACAGUUUUUAAAUAAAUCAUAAAAUGUACAUAACUUUACACAUUUUCUGUUAACAUAUAACAUGCAAAUUGACAUACAAAUAAGUAUAAAAUGCACAUCGAAUUUCAAAGACUUGGUACCAAAAAAUAAUGUAAACUAUCUAAUUCGUAUUUUUUAAUAUUGUUGGCCUGUUAAAAUGGUAAUAUUUUAGAUGUGCUGGGUUAAGGAAUAUAUGUUAUUAAAAUUAUCUUCACCUACUUCUUUUUAUUUUUUCAAGUGGCCAAUAGAAAAUUUAAAACUACAUAGGCAACUUGAAUUCUGUUUCUAUUGGACAGGGUGGCUGCAGUCAGUCGGGAGCUGACAGAUACUUCAGGCCAGAGAGGCUGUUGACACAGGGCAAUUGUUUUGGUGCCUCCUGUCCUGUGCCCAGUCCCCAGCCACCACCUUGGGAGUAAAUGUUAGCUGAGAAGCUGUUGCUCACCCAGAGAGGAAGUAUGGUGUAAUUAGAAAACUGAAUCAUAACUUAGAUAUUUUACAGCUCCCUGUGUUAUCAUGGACUCUGGAACAUUCCAUAGAGUCUCAAUACCCUGAGUAAUUUCUGGGGAAUUUUGACUCUGAUCACCCAAGUAAUUGGGUCAGCCUUGGUCUGACUUCUCAAAACCCCAAAAGUCCUAUGCCCGGAAUAUGCCAGACUCUGUGGACCAGCUGAUGUACCCUGAGCUGCUGCAGGUAGAUUCUAGAGUUUGAGAUACAUAAGAAUGCAACGGUUUUGUAAAUCUAAAAUUAUUUCAGAUUAAAAAGUUUAGUUUUAAAAAUAUGUAACAAGUCUUGGGCCUGAAGCCAACCUGAAGAUUCCUCAUUUUAUGACCACAAGAUACGGCUUAGUAGUUCCUGAAGGAGUCAUUCUCUAGUUCUCUGCCUGCCAAUAUGGCGGCCACCAGCCCUGUGGGGCCACUGAGUGCUUUCUCCCUUCGGGUGGAGUUGGAUCCCAUGGAGAUACGCCGCACGUGUGGAAUACACUCUGCAUUCCAAAGGCUUAGUAUGGAAAAAUCAUGCAAAAUAUCGCCUUAGUAAUUUGUAUAUGUUGAUCACGUGUUGAAAUGAUAUUUCAGAUAUACUGGGCUAAGGAAAAUACAUUAUUAAAAUUAAUUUCACCUGU